rnacentral:rRNA from 1 species
UUAAUACUGGAUAGAUCAAAGAAACUGGAAUGUUCUCUGGUCUAAAACUCCGGUGCCCAAGGAUGGGUCUGCGGCCUAUCAGGUAGUAGUGGGUGUAACGUACCUACUAGCCAGCGACGGGUAAGGGUUGUGAGAGCAAGAUCCCUGAGAUGGAUUCUGAGACAUGAAUCCAGGCCCUACGGGGUGCAGCAGGCGCGAAAACUUUACACUGCGGGAAACCGCGAUAAGGGGACCCCGAGUGCCAGCACCUAGUGCUGGCUGUCCUACUGUCUAAAUAACAGUGGUUAGCAAGGGCCGGGCAAGACCGGUGCCAGCCGCCGCGGUAACACCGGCGGCCCGAGUGGUAACCGUUUUUAUUGGGUUUAAAGGGUCCGUAGCCGGCUUACUAAGUCUCUUGGGAAAUCUGGCGGCUCAAUCGUCAGGCGUUCA